GAAGGAGGGUCGAUUUAGAUUAGAUGUUAGAAAGAAAUUCUUUACUGUGAUGGUGGUGAGGCACUGGAACAGGUUGCCCAGAGAGGUUGUGGAUGCCCAAUCCCUGGAAGUGUUCAAGGCCAGGUUGGAUGAGGCUUUGGGCAACCUGGUCUAGUGGAGGGUGUCCCUGCCCGCAGCAGGGGGGUUGGAACUAGAUGGUCUUUAAGGUCCCUUCCAACCCAAACCAUUCUAUGAUUCUAUGAAACCAUGGGAAACCAAGUCCUUUUUUUUAGCUAUUUUUUCUCUUUGCUAGUUAAGGCCCUCUUAUGUAAGGCCACUUCACUUGACUUGCUGGAGCAUGCAAUAGCUCUCUGGUAAGCUUUGAGAAGGAAAGAGCAUUAUCAGAUAACAUGAGCUGUAUCAUAAGAUUUAAUGCCACACUUAAAAUCCUGAUUCUCAAGUUAAGUGGAUAUGUGGAAAUCUCAGCUCAUUAAAAUAAUAAAUAUUAGUUUUGUCAGCCCUCACUGCUGUGGAGGAAGGCUUGAAAAUGAGUACCUAAAAACUCACAAACCAUGAAAUGAAAAUAAUUCAAACUAGUUUGUGCUUUUUCAAAAAAUAUAAAACAUGAGACCCGAAUUUCCAUAAUAAAAAUGCAUGUCCUAUUUUUAUUUGUAUUUUCUUUCAUUUUCAAAGAAAUCUCUUGACAUGCAUUGGCACCUGUACCUAAAAACAUUAAACACUGGGGUUUUUAAAUAGCAAACUAGCAAGAGCGUCACAUGUUUCUUACACUGGUAUUGCUACUGUUUAUAAAGGGGUCAGGUGUUGCACUUUGGAAAAACAAAUAUCCACCAAAAUGUUUAAUGUUUUAUCUUCUUAUUCAUUCUUACACUUCAAAAAUCACUUUCACUUCUGUAUUUAUUUAGACUUUGUUCUCAAAACAUUCAUGGGGACUUUAAUCUCUGCCAAAACCCCUUUUCUAUCCUGCAAGGGCUUUUGCAAUUUAAGACUAUUUCCACUUUUGAAAAACAUUCAUUCUAGUUCUGCCUGGACACCUCAUUUCGGUGGACACGGGAAUGUCUUUCUAGCUCUUUUUACAGGGAAGCCUGGAUGAGGGGAGAGCGACCGUAAUAAAAGGCAGGAGGGGCACAUCUGGGCUGAGCACAGCUUUUUCGGCAGCUGUUCUCUCCUGCGCCCUUUUGCCAGUCUACCUGGUAGGGAUUCUGCUUUCAGUUUCAACCCUUUUAUCCAUAUGGAGAGGUAUGACCGCAGAAAUGACCUACCUCUUACCAGAAUUUAUUGCAAGCCUUUUCCUCUGCUCUACAUUUUUCUCCAGUCCUUACCUGACUUGACUCUGCGAAUUUUAACAUGUUUUCCCUUUGUUUCCUCCAGCCCUCUCCUGCAGCACUUUUCACACAUUUAACAUCACCCAGCAGCAGCUGUCAUCACAGGCUUAAUUUACUGUGGCCAAACUGGCUUCUCUGUGACUCACGUUAUAGCCUCAGGAGCUGUUGUUUUCUGGUACCUGGGAUACACGGUAAAAGAGGCGGAAAUCUUUCACUCGGUGUUAAACUGUUGGUUAGUAACUUAGAAGGGGUUUUGCGUUUAACAAUUCUGAGAUGUGUAUUGACAGCUGUCUUCCGCUACUAGGUCCAUGAGAAAAAUGCCCCUUAGGGUUGCUUUGAGAACUACCUAUAUUUAGAAGAAUUCAAAAGGUAAGAGCAGUUCUUAAAUUCAUUCUACAUGGGCAUUCUACCGAGGAGUUUUGUUUUCUUAAAACCAUGCCAGCUCCAACAGCAGAUGACAACAGAAGAUCAUCAGGGAAUGAAAGCCAUAUAACAAGGCUCAAAAUAAGACCGAUGAAAAAUGGCAUAUGGUUGUCUGGGGAGGACUUAAAAUCCUGUAAAAUUUGAACAUAAAUAACAUGAAGUCAACAUUGUUGACCUUCUGAGGCAGAGUCAAACUAGUGAUGCUAAUCUGUUCUAAGGAUUUCCUGUUCUUUUCACUCCUUUACCUUUGGUCUCGUAUAAAGACAUUGAUUCUCGGCAGGUCUCAACUACCUUUGAUGGGUGUCCUAGGUGAUGGUGGUGGCAACCUUAUAAAGGGUACUUAGAGAAUUUAAUAGAGAACUCUGUUUUAAUAACGAACAGUAGUAUAUUUGCAGAUCAGUGAAAUAUUUGUGCUGAAAACCUGCUGUGGUUUGUAGUGGAAAUUCAAGCAGAAAUCCUGUUAUCUCCUGCUCAGUUGUGCAGAUGCUGUCCCUGCAGCAGGCCAAUAUAUCUACUGAGCUCUUUGACAGCAAAACAUGGGACUUCUACCUGGAUUUGUCAUCCCUGAAAAAGGCAGGCUGUGCCUACAUAAAUUUGUCCAAGCAAUUAUCAGGACUAGCUUGAAAUAACAUGAAAAAAAGUUCUCUUCCACAGAAUUUCUUCCUCUUAAGAUCUGCAGGCAGCAUCUCGUGGCACCCCUUUGGUCCCACCUUGGGCUUCUCUCCCACAGUGAUUCUUUCCAAGAGGGUCUCUUUUGCCACCCUCACUUCUCCAACUCAGAAAUGCCACCUGGGCAGAACAUGAAGAUUCUGUGCUUUUGUCCAUGACCUCUGGCUUGCCCAGCAUCCAGAAACCAUGGAGAUGUUUGAGGGGGAGGAAGGCUGCUCCUCAGUACACAUUCAAACGACUGAUUCUUUGGGAAUGGGCAGGCUUGAUUUUAGUGCAUGGACUUUAUAGGUGAUCUGUGUUUGUGUUGUUUGACAUGCUCAGGAUGACUAACUUAUUCUGAAGAAUCAUGCAUGCGCAGUAAGUUUGAUACUUCCCAGAGGUAUCAAGCCCAUUAGGCACAUACUGCGCUGAAGCCUGCAAAAAUAUUUCUGUCAGGAAGACCCAUCUAUCACAACAGGCCCUCAAAUGACCUUCCCAAGAGUCAGCGUCUAAAAAGGAAUUAAAUUUUUACUACCUUUCUAAGAGGCUGUAUGAAGUCAGAAGCCCAAACGCUGAACAGAACUCAAAUUCAGUCCCAAACGAGCCAUCACCCUCCUUCUCCCAGCGCAAGCAAGUAACUGGUGGAGCACAAAGUAUCUGCUCCCCGUUGGGCACCAGCUCUGCCAUACAGUCAUCAUGUUGCCGUGCCAAAAGAAAAGCGGGGGCAGGGAUGGGGAUGUUUUCUUUUCCAAGAACAGUCCUCCAGGAUAUAAAAUAGUAUUUCUUGCCUGUGUUAUCAGAAAUGACACAGUUCACAAAGUCAGCAGCCACAUUUUUGCCAGCAGGUUGCCAAUUGUUUCUAAUUUGAAAAGCAUCCAAAAAUGUUUCAACUACUGGACGUAUUUCAAAGUUUUACACUCAAACCUUGUCACUUUUAUAGAUUUUAGGGACAAUGAAAAUGUCUGGCAGGCCCUGAGCUGAAUACUGACUUUGCCACAUCCCAGUUUAUUCAUAUUGUGCCCGUGCAAAGGGUGCCAAGGACUGGAAUAUCAAGAGCUGUCUGGUUUUAUUCCCUUCAACUCUCAACAGUCCUGUCAAACCCCAUAAACUGAGAGGCUCAUGCAGUUCAUUCCCUCCUAAUCAUUUUGCAGAGACAAGACUAAAGCUCCCCUGUCACUGUGGCACCUCUCCUGCUCUGCAGUCCCACGGGCUUGACAGAGUUGGCCAGCCUGGCCAGGACGCCGGCGGGAGAGGAGCAUCACGGUGAUACACCGGUGCCAGGUAAAACUUUCCUUCAUCUUAAGCUGUAUGACCACCAUAAAUGGGUGAACAACUAUGGCCCAGAUCUACAAAAGUGCCUAAAGAAGAACCUACAUAGAACCAGGCUUUAAAACACCAGAGCGCCAUACCCCAAAACACACUCCAAAACUUUUGGUGAGGCAUGAAGUAAUACUUUCAUAUAUGUGAAGUGCUGUAUCAGUCUUGGAAGGACACCAUCACCCCCCACCUACCACAGAGCCAGCUCUGGAUGGGAACUGCCUGCCCUCCAUGGAUGGCCAAAUCCUCCAACCAAGCUUCAUGCUGGCAAGUGGGAGCUCUGCACAGUGCACAGCUACCACGGUUAAUAUGCUCUUCUUGUGGGUACUUGGGGACAUCUUGGGCCAAUUUCUGCCACAGGUCCAGAGACAGCUACAUCAACUCUACACAAGCCAACACUGGAGCUAGACCCAUUCAUCAGAGAGGAGAAAGACACACUGGUUGCCACGCUGCGCUGCAGAAACCUUUGGUUGUUGAUCUGAGGCACAGUAUAAAACACAGUGUCCUUUUAUAGCUGUGUUGCUGGCCCUGUGUUAGAUGGAAAUUAGAUCUCUCUUUAAGAAGUUGCAUCUUCAGAAGAACCAUAACAGAAAAAAAAAAUCAAGAGGAAAUCCCCAAACCCUGUCACCCACCUCCAAAACUGUAAAAGCUGAAAAUGCCCAGAUGCAGGAUGGAUGGAUAAGAACUCAACCUGAAGCAGAGAUCUGAGGAGUGUUUCAUAGAAAACACAACUCCCUAUCAACAAUCCAGGAUACUCACCUCUUCCAGAAAUCCUCAUUCAUUUCUAUUUUAAUUAAUAAUCCUAAAAUCAGCAUUAAACAUCCUAAAUCAGUGCACAUUAAAAUAAACACUAUGUACAAUUACUCCAAAUUCAAGCUGUAGGUCACAUUUAUCCUUUAUAUCUUAAUAUGCAUCUGUAAUCAGAAGGAGGUCAUGGGGAUCUGUGCAAAUUAGAACGUGCUAGAGCACAGCCUCAGGUAUCAUACUACUUGUACAA